rnacentral:rRNA from 1 species
UACGGAGGAUGCAAGCGUUAUCCGGAAUGAUUGGGCGUAAAGCGUCCGCAGGUGGCGAUGUAAGUCUGCUGUUAAAGAGUCUAGCUCAACUAGAUAAGAGCAGUGGAAACUACAUAGCUAGAGUACGUUCGGGGCAGAGGGAAUUCCUGGUGUAGCGGUGAAAUGCGUAGAGAUCAGGAAGAACACCAGUGGCGAAGGCACUCUGCUAGGCCGUAACUGACACUGAGGGACGAAAGCUAGGGGAGCGAAUGGG